CCCCAAGGCUUUGUGCUGGGACCAUUGGCACCAUUGUUCACAGUAAAGUCUUGCAGAAAUGCCAGGAUGAAAAAAUUGAGAUAUUGGGAAGCAGUCAGAAAGCAGAGGAUGGUUCUCUGCAACAUGUAGUAAAUGAGGUGAGACAUUUAAAGCAGAAUUUUGGACUAGCUUUCAUACCUUCUUGUAAGGCUGGGUGAUAUGGCCAAAAAAAUUAUCACAAUAAAAUA